rnacentral:rRNA from 1 species
AUUGAACGCUGGCGGCAGGCUUAACACAUGCAAGUCGAGCGGGGAAGAGUAGCUUGCUACUUAACCUAGCGGCGGACGGGUGAGUAAUGCUUAGGAAUCUGCCUAUUAGUGGGGGACAACAUCUCGAAAGGGAUGCUAAUACCGCAUACGUCCUACGGGAGAAAGCAGGGGACCUUCGGGCCUUGCGCUAAUAGAUGAGCCUAAGUCGGAUUAGCUAGUUGGUGGGGUAAAGGCCUACCAAGGCGACGAUCUGUAGCGGGUCUGAGAGGAUGAGCCGCCACACUGGGACUGAGACACGGCCCAGACUCCUACGGGAGGUAGCAGUGGGGAAUAUUGGACAAUGGGGGGAACCCUGAUCCAGCCAUGCCGCGUGUGUGAAGAAGGCCUUUUGGUUGUAAAGCACUUUAAGCGAGGAGGAGGCUACCGAGAUUAAUACUCUUGGAUAGUGGACGUUACUCGCAGAAUAAGCACCGGCUAACUCUGUGCCAGCCGCCGCAGUAA